GGAGUUAGCCGGUGCUUCUUCUGCGAGUAACGUCACAGAUGUAAGGUAUUAACUUACACCCUUUCCUCCUCGCUGAAAGUGCUUUACAACCCGAAGGCCUUCUUCACACACGCGGCAUGGCUGCAUCAGGGUUUCCCCCAUUGUGCAAUAUUCCCCACUGCUGCCUCCCGUAGGAGUCUGGGCCGUGUCUCAGUCCCAGUGUGGCUGAUCAUCCUCUCAGACCAGCUAGGGAUCGUCGCCUAGGUGAGCCUUUACCUCACCUACUAGCUAAUCCCACCUGGGCUUAUCCAUCAGCGCAAGGCCCGAAGGUCCCCUGCUUUCCCCCGUAGGGCGUAUGCGGUAUUAGCAGUCGUUUCCAACUGUUAUCCCCCACAAAUGGGCAAAUUCCCAGGCAUUACUCACCCGUCCGCCGCUCGUCAUCUUCAAAAGCAAGCUUUUGAAAUGUUACCUCUCGACUUGCAUGUGUUAGGCCUGCCGCCAGCGUUCAAUCUGAGCCAGAAUCAAACUCUGA
rnacentral:rRNA from 1 species